AUCUUGUGAUGUAUAUCUGGGAUUGUCCGAAAAUUAUGAAAUGAAAGUUGCAUCACACUUCAUGGAACCUCUUGCGGUUGGGCUACUUGAAAGUGACUUUGACCUUGUAUAGAAAGGUAUGUCAUCACCAACCCGCCCUAUGAGUUUGAGCUCGUGCCGACGGACCUGAUCUUCUGCUUAAUGCAGUUUGACCACAAUGCCGGCCAGUCCCGGGCCAGCCUGUCCCAUUCCUCCCACUCGUCGCAGUCCUCCAGCAAGAAGAGCUCCUCUGUUCACUCCAUCCCAUCCACAGCAAACCGACAGAACCGGCCCAAGUCCAGGGAGUCCCGGGACAAACAGAAAAAAGAAAUGGUUUACAGAUGAACCGGAUAAUGCCUAUCCCAGAAACAUUCAAAUCAAGCCCAUGAGUACCCACAUGGCUAACCAGAUCAACCAAUAUAAAUCCACAAGCAGCUUGAUUCCACCAAUCAGAGAAGUUGAAGAUGAAUGUUGACUCCCAGGAGACCAGAACUAUUUUUUUAAAGCCUGACAAACUUCAUAAAUGGUGAUGUGACUUUUCUUCUUACAUGCUGAAUCACUGGUGGAAACGUUAGGAUAAGCAAGAAUUGCCAGAAAAUAAAGUAGACAGAUC
rnacentral:sRNA from 1 species